rnacentral:lncRNA from 1 species
UUAUUGUGCACAGUGGGCUGGACUGGGUGUAAGGAGGAACGUGGACAGAGGGGAAAAUAUAAGCCUGUACUGCAAAAUUUUUUUCCCAGUUGGGGAGGUAGCAGACUGUAGGCUGAGGCAGCUGGCAGAUGGACAGACGGGAAGAGCUGCCAUCCUGCAACACGCUACACCCACACUUGCUGGGGAAUUGCUUUCCUCAAAGCACUGCCCCAAUUUAGGUCAGCUGGCAGCUAUUCAUUGUUGAUGAAGUCAUCUGAUAGCCAGUGUUAAAAGAGAUAUAGUCAGCGUUGUACAAGGUAUCUCAGCCACCUUUAAAGCAGCAAAAACAAGAUACAUGAUGGAUAAAGAACAGUUCUAUCUCCGAUGAACUAUUUUCCCUCCACACUUUAUUUUCUUCUUCAAUCUUAAGUUCUGGACAUUAAAAACUAAUGGAAAAACCCACAGUGCUAAUUUUUCUUUUGGUUUUGGAAUGAUGGCUGCAUCAAAUGCUUAAUACAGUGGAAAUACCAGUUACUCUAGUCGAGCUUUUUGAGGGGAAGAAAGGAAGUCCAAGCACACUGUUUUAGAAGUCUAAGAAAACAAGAAAUCGGCAUGGAUGUUUGAGUGAUGAGACAUGGGGAUUCCCAAGGGCUAUCUUGACUCAUGCUAUCUGCAGCAAUGCCACUGCAGAGAGUUUAUUCUGAUCUUCUACUUAAGGGAAUGUCUGACUAUGCAGCUUGGAAAAUAGGCAGCAAAACCCUGGAAUGCCCUGGUCUGCAGGAAGAGGACCACAAGGCUGAGCCAGAAACACUGCUGCUGAACAAAUGCUUUAUUUUUUGGCUGAAGCUCAGAGGCCUGAAGGGGACAUCCCACCUAGCUCAGAAGAGUCUCCACUUGUCCCCUCCUAGUGAACCCUCAUUCAACUGGUGUCAAAUUGUGGUGGCAGCCAGGAAGAUGGUGGCUGUAAAAUUAAAAAUAAACAAAUA